rnacentral:rRNA from 1 species
GGCGGCGUGCCUAACACAUGCAAGUCGAACGGAGAUGUUUAUUUCGGUAGACAUCUUAGUGGCGCACGGGUGAGUAACGCGUGAAUAACCUGACCCGAAGAGGGGGAUAACACCUGGAAACAAGUGCUAAUACCGCAUAAGACCACGGACCGGCAUCGGUCAGAGGUCAAAGGAGAAAUCCGCUUUGGGAGGGGUUCGCGUCCCAUUAGGUAGUUGGUGAGGUAACGGCCCACCAAGCCGACGAUGGGUAGCCGAGCUGAGAGGCUGAUCGGCCACACUGGAACUGAGACACGGUCCAGACUCCUACGGGAGGCAGCAGUGGGGAAUAUUGGGCAAUGGGCGCAAGCCUGACCCAGCAACGCCGCGUGAGGGAAGAAGGUUUUCGGAUUGUAAACCUCUGUCGCAGGGGACGAAGGAAGUGACGGUACCCUGUAAGAAAGCCCCGGCUAACUACGUGCCAGCAGCCGCGGUAAUACGUAGGGGGCGAGCGUUGUCCGGAAUUACUGGGCGUAAAGGGAGCGUAGGCGGUCGAUUAAGUUAGAUGUGAAACCCCCGGGCUUAACUUGGGGACUGCAUCUAAUACUGGUGACUUAGAGUACAGGAGAGGGAAGCGGAAUUCCUAGUGUAGCGGUGAAAUGCGUAGAUAUUAGGAGGAACACCAGUGGCGAAGGCGGCUUUCUGGACUGACACUGACGCUGAGGCU